GGUAGACAUUUGAAUUGUUUCGACUUUUUGGUGUUUACAAAUAGUCCUCUUGUGACCAUUUCUAUAAGAACUUUGCUGCGAGCCUGUUUUCCUUUUGGAGGUAUACUAAGAAAGGAAUCGCUGUGUCAUACGCUGUCAAUCUGGAGGUAACAAGGGAUCCCAGCGCUCUGAGAAACAGCUAUGGAACAGUAACUGCCACCAAUGCUCUAGUCCCAUGGAGUGGUCAGCUACGGGGUUGGUAUUCCAUUCACCUAGCUAAGGUCCUUGGAUGCGUCUUAUUUAGUGCCAGGGUCACCUCCUCUCAGCCUCCUCUGUAACAUGCUUUGCAGCCCCCCCCCCAGUGUACCCCUCAAUGCUGCCUCCU